GGCCGCGCAGGACGCUGGCUCGCUCGCUGGCUCGUUCACUCACCACGGUGACCGGGGACACCAUGGCGGAGGCGGCGGCUGCCGGCACCGGCUCCGGGCUGCGGGGAUAAAGACGCGCUGGGGCCAGAUCCCCAGAACACUUCAAACCAACUCUCAGUCACCCCCGCCUCACCCUACCCCUGCCCCAUCUACAUAUCUGAGGAGGAAAAUCAGACACCACUGAAGAAAUGUUAAGAAGUGGGACAAGACUCUAAGAACUCUAGGUUGUGCUUUGGGUUGCUCCUUCUUCAGUAUUGAGAAGUUUGUAUGAGGAAGUGGAAAUAAGAAAGGAGAAGUAUCUGGAGGUUGGGCAAGAGGAUGGCUUUUGAGAAAAAAAAAUACCUAGAAGAUCAUAUCAUCAAGCACCAGGAUAUUGAAGAUAACAUCGAGGCUCCAGGCGCAGAAAAGCAACAAAACCAGACAAGCAACACCACCACUGACGGACCUCAGGACCAGCUGCUUCGGAUAAUGACCCUCUGUCCUGGCACCAACCAAUCAGUGGGGACCUAGACCCUGAAAGGACAUACCUGAAAAGCUGCCAAAUAUUCUAUUGAGACCUUCCCCUAAAAUCUCCACCCUUAAACCUUAGGACAGAGGACUCUCCCUCCAGAGAGCAGCCCUCUCCUUUCCCUUCCCCCCCCCUCCCCAGGCGGGCUACCAUUACCUUCCUCACUCCCGAGUUCCAAGGGCCCUUCCUUUACCUCUAUAACUCCUAAGCCCAUUUCUUCUACAAAUUACUUCUAUCCUGUGAUUUCCCUAAUAAAUGUUCUCUUAUAGUUUCAGUCUUGCCUCUGAAUUCUUUCUUUGCCAGAACUCAAAUACCAAGGUUAUUAAACCCAGGUCCAGUCUGAUCCCAUGGGUCUAACACCUGUAGGUGCAGUUCUGCCUACAACAGAUGUCUGCAAAGACAUAAAGGUAUGACAGUGUGACUAAAUGUGUUUGGAUCAUAGGGC